GGUUUAUGCCCAACAGAGGCAUGAUUAAUGGGGCCAAAAGAAACGGCCGAAGUUAAAAGCCCAACACGGGCCGAAGAACGAAAACAACUCUAUGGACCAUAGCCCAUACAAGGAAAGCCCGUUGAGGAAGAAGAGACGCAUCGCACACCACGUGUCCGAUCACCCAGCGAUCAAUGAAUACGUGUUAGAACACGCUCCACCUGCUUCCACCGGAACCAGAAAAGGUCGCGACGGAGCUCCGCCAACGGUGAAGUCGAAACAACUAAAACCGAUCAACCAGAGCGGCUUACACGAAGCUCGAACCGAGGAAACAAACUGGC
rnacentral:lncRNA from 1 species